ACCUACUUAACUCAGUGGUUAGAGUAUCGCUUUCAUAAGGCAAGAGUCAUUGGUUCAAAUCCAAUAGUAGGUA
rnacentral:tRNA from 1 species